CGUGUUUUUUGUUUGUUUGUUUUUUUUUUUUAGAUAUUAAAUGCGUCUUACCGGGAUUUGUGUAUGUGUGGGUUUUUUAAAAAAAAGAUAUUAAAUGCGUCUUACCGGGGUUUGUGUGUGUUUUGGUUUUUUUUUUAAAAGAUAUUAAAUGCGUCGUACCGGGGUUUUUGUGUGUAUGUGUGGGUUUUUUAAAGAUAUUAAAUGCGUCAUACUGGGGUUUUUGUGUGUGUGUGUGUGUAUGUGUGGGUUUUUUUAAAGAUAUUAAAUGCGUCAUACCGGGGUUUUGUAUGUGUGGUUUUUUUAAAAAGAUAUUAAAUGCGUCCUACCGUUUGGUACGUCGUUGGAAGGUAUGUGUUCAAACGAAGGAUCGCCUGCUUCUCUGAUUAGUGAUUCUAUGAAAUCAAAAUAUCAUUAAAAAUAUAAUUGAGAAUAUAUGAUUACAGGUAUUAUAAUACUAACUGAUCUCAAAAUUAAUACACUGUUUCAAAAACUUAGAAAAGAAAAUAGUAUUAGUAAAAAUAGAUUCACAGGAAGAUUUUCCCAUUGCUUGUUCGAACUUCUAAUUAUUAUAUCCUUAAGGAAGUCAACUUUAAAAACAACAAAACUUUAAACGCCGCAUUCUGUACUGAUAGAGAUUCACAGACUGGGAUACUGUACUGUGUUGAGGGAAAACGAAUGUCAGUAAUAAAUCGUUUCUUGUGGAUUGGAAAUGGAUUUCUCUUUUUUGUCCUACAUGGUAGAUUUUUUCCCCUACAAUACCUAAAGGGAAAAUGGAAUGGAAUCACCCGUGUCCUUGUGCUUGAAGAUGAGGAAAGUCUCUCAACGGCUACGGUACUAAGGUUGGAUAAGUUCAUACCUCCGUGAAAACGUCUUUAGGUAACAAACACUUUGAUUUGUUGUGAUGUAAGAAAAUGAAUGUGAGCACUGUCUUCUGGAAAAGUAAUAUAUACCACAGGAUUUCUCCGAGUGUCAACAAUUGCAAAUAAAGUUUAAGCUAAAACUAAUUUGUGCUGAUAAAUUUAGAUCCAAUGAACUGGAAAUUAUACCAAAACUUGAAGUUGUGACCAUUAUUGUUAUACAUGUAUAUGUAAAGUAUGUUCCUCGUGAAAUCUAACAGGUAAGAAGGUGAUCAAAGUGUUUCUUUUGAUUGUUUGAUUUACAAACACACCUUCUUUUGUUUGCUUACAUGUGCAUUCACCUGAAUGAGAGGACGAACACAUAUGAUAUAAAUUUUGGACGUGCAUUUUUAUCAAACAUAAAUGGCUUGCUUUGAUAUCAGAUCGUGUUUGACAUCAAUUACAGUAUAAUAAAUUGAUAACUGUAUCUAAAGAACACAAAUGAUAAAAGUAAGCUAGUAGGAAGAGGGAAAUAAUGACCACAUGCAUGCAUAACACUAUGGAAAUAGGUAAAUUUGCAGAUUCAGCUUAUCUUAAAGCAUGUCUUUGUACGGCUAAAUGCUUCCUCGUAUCAAUUUUCCUUAUACCUCAUUGGACAAUGCUUCUUAUUGGUUACUUUAAAUUUUCAAAUUUCCAAGGUCCUCCCUGCAAUAAGUAGGUUAUGUCGAUUUUUGUGAUACAUCACCAACUUGGAGCAUUUAUUAAAUGAAUGUGUGAAAGGUCGGAGGUCAAAUCCCGUCGGGGUCAGACAAUAGUUAAUAGAUGUUGAACAUCCAAGACAAAAGUCAUCAGUCUGUUUGACGAAACUUUAAAAGGUUGUAUGAAUGAAAGCUUGACCACAAUGGUAUGUUUGGUUUUAAAUCCUAUAACUUAUGAUUUUUGGUACACUAUGACAACCAUGCAAUCCAUUUUGUGUAUCAGUGCGUUUUGAUAUGCAUGUAUGUAUAUCAAAGUAUACAAAGCUUCAUAUAUAUGUAUUAUAUACGACUGAAGAAGACCGGUAACACGGUCGAAAUAUUUCUACAAAGUGUUUAGAGUUUAUAUGUGUGUGUGUGUGUGUUUAGAUAUAUAUAUAUAUAUAUAUAUAUAUAUAUAUAUAUAUAUAUAUAUAUAUAUAUAUAUAUCACUAAAUUCCAACAACACUCAUCCAAAGUGUCAGAUCUAAUAAUAGAUACGAGGUCAAAUAAAUAAGGAUAUAAAAAGCUCUAAAAAUGACCAACGACACGAACAACAGUGAAUUUUCAAAUUUUGGGACGACAUAUCCCUUCCUCAUGACGAUAUAAUAUUAACAUAGAAAAGAAAACAAAAUAGGAAAGAAAAUUAAAACUAAAACUAAACUACAAAAGCUGAUAACAGACAAAACGUUUACAUAUUGAUACUAUCGAGUGUAACAUGGGGCAAGUGUGUUCUGAUCGAGCGUCAAGACUGGACUGAACUAAGCAGUCCUACGCUGGAUAAAGUCAAAAGCAAAGUUCUGUGGUUUUUAUGUUUGUUUGUUUUUUGGUGUGUGUUUUUUUUUUUUUUACUUUAUCCAGUGUAAGACUGAAUCAUUCAGUUCAGUCUUCUUGACUUUAUGUAUUUAGAUUUCCUUUCUAUGUAAAUAUGCUAUCGUCCUGAGGAAGGGACAGGUCGUUCCGAGAAUUGGCAAUUCAUUGUUGUUCGUGUUGUUGGUCAUUUUUAGUGCUUUAUAUAUAUAUAUAUAUAUAUAUAUAUAUAUAUAUAUAUAUAUAUAUGUACAUAUAUAUCGUCAUCAGAAUAUACAUUUUAAGCUCUCAACUUUGCUGGCUGUAUCUAAAGGACACGAGCACCACCAGAAAACACACAUUGUCUUUACGUUCAAUCUUCUUAAAGAUACAUCAGUACUGACAGAGAAAAACCAUUAAUCAUCGAAUACAACAAUGACGUGUUUCAUACCAAAUGUAAGGCUUUACAUACUGAUUCUGACUACCGAUUACUCCGUUUACCUGGUCAAGAUGUAGGGUUCAUGGCGGGUGUGACCGGUCAACAUGGAAUGCUUACUCCUUUUAGGCGCCUGAUCCCACCUCUGAUGUGUCCAGGGGUCCGUGCGUGCCUUCAUUUCUUAAUUUUGUAUUCUUUAUUGGAUUCAUGUGAUUAAUCAUUGUUCGUUAUUUUCAUAUUUGUAAUUUCAGUGACGUUUUUUUGCACAUUUUAUACAAUCACUGAUGUAUUGCUUCUAAUGUAGUUCUAAUAUUGUAUGUGAAGUUAUUCAUUAAUUGAUUUUAUGAAAACAUUAAUAUUCUAUAGGGCCUACUUCAUAUACCAAUAUUUUACUGCAUUUUGAAGUUCAAUAUGACUUUAAUGACAAUUUGGUUUUAAACAUGAAAUAUACAAACAUGCUGUAAAUGUAAUAGGAUUCGGAAACAAGUGCGAAGAAUUAUGUAUAUCCGUCUCAUAUAUUACAUAUAACAAUAACAAUGGUACAAAUCGUCCUGUAGUUAUGGUGUAAACAAAUGGGCGAUUUUUCAUUGAAGUACAAAUACAAAGAGUGUUAAAACAUAAAUAAACAAGGGUGGUGCUAAUGCAUGACGGGGUUGUGUGAAAUUUUCCUUCACACCAUGAGCUUCUGUCUGAUUGCAAUAAGACAAAGGACGGAAUGCAAGCCUUAAUUAAGUGAUGUAUUAUGUUAAUUUAACAUUACAUCAUCGUUAGGAAUAGAUGUCAAUACAAGAAAUUAUACUUUUACAAAAUUUGAUACUCAGCAAUCAUAUCCAUGAUUGAUUGAUUGUAUCUUGUUUAACGUCCCUCUCGAUAAUUGUUCACUCAUAUGGCGACGUCUGUGAAUUACAAUGUGUAUUUGUAAAGGAAUUGCCGUUAUCAUACAUUUUUAAAAACACACACAUUUGUCAACAUUUUGUUGGCAAUUCUUAUCCAGAAUUGAUAUAUCCUUUUACAGGAUUUUAAAUUUUGUUACAUAAACCAAAAUAACCAGUCUAAAAUAAUUUUUAGCUUUCAUUAUUGAAAAACAAACCCGUACCAUACUUCAUAAUACGAAUUUGUAAGUUAGGAUAAUAAUAAAUUCAAAUGUUGGAUAGCUAAAUAAAGAUUCAAUAACACGCCCCUCUUAUUCCUUGUACAAGCAAACACGGUUGAGUUUGUGAAAAGUACCUAUACGAAUAUUGUUGUUAAAGGUCCUCGGGGCUAAACACCAACGCCGCUGGUUCCUAGAAUAUUAUAUGAAAUACACUUGUACGUGAGCUCGAUUUUGAUUUUUGAUUCACUGAGUUCGCACGUGUUCGUUUCCCCCGCUGUAUUCUAACACCAUAUGGUUUCCCUAUAGUAUAUUAUUAACCACAACAGUUCCAGCCAAAUACUAUGUUAGGGGUUGGCUAAAAUUUCUUGCAGUUUAUUCUGCAGUGUAUGACAACAUAAAAGUUCAUAACAAAUAUUUACUAUAUUCAUACGUGAAUGCUAAGUUCUGAAAUUGUCCAUUUUUUUCUAUACAUUGACGAUGUGUUUCAGAGUUAUCAUUAAUCUACUUUCUAAAUCCUAAUGUUGAAACCGUUGCUUUAUCUUACUCCUCCAAAUUACAGAUCAUAUCUUUCCGACUUAACGUCACAUUUACAUCACAGACUCGGCAACAUGAUUUUUGUUUCUAUAAAUACAUUUUUCAUAAACAGAUGUCUCUAAGUUGGUGAGAGCGUUCAGAUUAUAUUUCAUUGCCAAAUUCAUCCAACCUGUUUUAAGCUAUAUUUGGAUUUUCAGAGAAUUGAUUUCGAAUAUAGUCAUGAGGAGGUUGUGCCUCGACACACUGGUACAAACGAGGUUUUCCUCUUGUGUAUAUCUCAACACGGAACCGGAUACGAGUCUAAUACAUUUUGGAAGAGAAUACACUCGCAAUAUCCGCGUUCUCUUAUAUUUAGAAGUAAUCAGAAUUUUGCAUAUAAUCUCCUUUAUAGGCAGACAGUUUCAACUGCAUUUUUUAAAUUUAAUUUAAUUUUUUUUUGCUUUCCCUCGUGUUUUGGGGGAUCAUAUCGAAUUUUAUAUUCUAAAUUUCCAGGCUGGUUUCCCCAAAUUGUGACAAUAUUCUCCUUUUUAGUCCACAGGAUAGUACUCGAGGAGAGCGUUUUCAGCUUAUAACAUUAAACGUUACAUGUUUGCAUUAUAUAAUGUCCUUCAUAAUUUUUCACGUCUAGUUCCUUUAUUGUAAGUAUGUAAUUAAUCCGAAUCAAUAUGGGUUCAUUUGAGUCGCUAUAUACAAUACAACAUUUAAAAUUAAUUCAACAUCAAAAUAAUUUUAUUGAUCAACAUGGUUAUUCAACAAUGCAAAGUGUUGCUCUAUAUACAAUAAAUCAUGAUAUAUACAAAUUGAAAAAAAAUAAAUUUCAUAUUGAUUUUAAAAAUGACACGAACACACGAUGGAAAAUUGAGCUUGCUAGGAAGACCCGGCAGUAAGGCUGAACACACCAUGGCUCCAAACAUUACCCGACUUGAGAUUUCGUUGUCCUCCAUCAAUUCGCUAUCAUGAGGCAUUUCAGGAAAAAUAUAUUUGUAUAUGUUUGGAUUUCAUGCACAUUUCCC